CCGAAUGAUAUUGCAUUUUACAACACGUUUUAAUCGCGGACGAGUACGCAUGUCGGAUAUUAGUAGUGGCUCGUCAUGAAUUUUUCAAUACCAUUCGUAUGCUUGUAGGCAUGAUGGACGGACCCUUCACGGGUUGUCGUCCACUCCCACAUCCCGAUCUAUGAAAUUAGCUUGCAAAUAUUGACAGAACGAGAGUACGUAUGACGUUCUAGAUUUUCUUCAUCUCCCAGACGUGAUCGUGAUAAUUUUCAUGUUUCAUCGAACAGAUCGCUCAACUUUUAUCCAUAGCUUUUGUACGAAAAUCAUCGAGUACGGGAAAAGAAAUAUCAUGUUCGCGUAGAAAGUGCGAUUGAAAGCGAUAACGAGUUAACUUUUACACAAUGUCCCGCAAAAUUGUCGUCUUGGAAAGCUUCGAGCAGUUGUUUGCAGAGCAUAUACAUUCAGAUAAGAAUUUGCAGAUCAUAUCGUGGAAUAAGUUUUGCAAAGUUUUCGUAUCGUGAAAGCCACGUGUGUUAUCAUUUUAGCGUGAUUACUGCAUUGAUAAAAGAUAGCGAUUAAUAGAUAAUAUUAUGUAUUUGAAGUGAUACGAAGUGCAUGAUUCUCCAACAUAUUUCUGUAUUAUUAUUUUAUUAUUCUGUAAGUGAUUAAAAGCGUUUUGGGGAACGACGAUCAGUUUCCAAAAUCCCAUGAAAAUCUGUUGCGAAUUCUGACUAUGCGGAAACCCGAUUCCACGAUCAUUUUUGUGGGUUCAGUGAACGUGAAUUCGUCUUCGUUUUUCCAAAACUUUCACUGCGAAUUUUGAAAUUAAAUUCAUCAAGUACUGCCAGGAUUAUUAUUACUUGAAAAUAAUUAGUCUUGAAUUUCCAGCUCGUACGAAAUUCAAAAUUCUCGUAACGAUUGAGUGAAGGAGUAAUGUAACCGCGUAUAUUCAUAAUUUAAACCGCGUAAUCAAUACUACCGCGAAAACAGAAAUCGUACAAUAACGCUCACCUCAACUCGGGUGACGCGAAACGUGAAUAAGAUCGGUAUUCGAGUAUCGGGAAAGACCGAUGAUGGCGGAAAUCGCAUUGAAACCGUUGGCCACGGUACUAAAAACGUUCCAUUGAAGUGUUGAAAUCCUUCAAUCUAAACGGUUAAUCCCGCCUGCCUGUAAACACGACGACAUCAAAGCGGAGAUCCAGCUUUCAGAGCGUUCGACUCAAUUUUCGCACAGUCAUGCGAGUCGAGCGUUAUGUAAGUUUGCACAACACCAUUAUUGCUGUACAGGUGUGCCGACACCCACUCGCAAGUUACUCAUAGCGGACCAAUUUCCGGGAAAAUCACCUUGUAGUUGAUUACUUAAUUUCGGGCAGAAUGCUGAUCGGAUAAGACUGUAUAUUUUCUUCCUCAUGUGCGAAAAAUAUGGCCAAAAAUAAGCACGGUGUAUUGGAAAUAUUUAACCAUUUUCUUUUAACUCGCAGCAGCGAAUUACGACUCGAAAUGCGUUAUGCUCAACAAUUGGCCCGUUCAUCGCAUGUUCUUCUACGGC